GGAUGUGAGAACAAUCUUCCUGCGACACCUGUCACCAUAUUGAUUGCCAGGAUUGAUUCAACUGAUCUGGUUGGCUAGGCAGGUGUCCCCUUCCUCCCUCAUCUCUCCAUGUGUGUCCCUCUCAAAGAUGCAUGCUCGUUCGAAAAGGACAACCAUAUCAGAUAAAGGAGGACCAGUCUUUGGUCAAGGGUAUACGAAUAGCUGCACUCCCCUGCUAGAACCUCUAAACAAGCUCUCAAGAAAAGGGCCUCUGCAAAUCCACCCAUUGUGAUCCUGGUCCUCAAGUUUCA
rnacentral:snRNA from 1 species